UAACAAAGGGAAAACCGGGAUUGACUCGC
rnacentral:sRNA from 1 species